ACGGGAAUAGUUCAACGGUAGAAUAGAGGUCUCCAAAACCUUUGAUCGUGGUUCGAAUCCGCGUUCCCGUGCUA
rnacentral:tRNA from 1 species